GUAGGGGUGCGAGCGUUGUCCGGAAUUAUUGGGCGUAAAGAGCUCGUAGGCGGUCUGUCGCGUCUGCUGUGAAAACCCGAGGGCUCAACCUCGGGCCUGCAGUGGGUACGGGCAGACUAGAGUGCGGUAGGGGAGAAUGGAAUUCCUGGUGUAGCGGUGGAAUGCGCAGAUAUCAGGAGGAACACCGAUGGCGAAGGCAGUUCUCUGGGCCGUAACUGACGCUGAGGAGCGAAAGCGUGGGGAGCGAACAGGAUUAGAUACCCUGGUAGUCCACGCCGUAAACGUUGGGCGCUAGAUGUGGGGACCAUUCCACGGUUUCCGUGUCGCAGCUAACGCAUUAAGCGCCCCGCCUGGGGAGUACGGCCGCAAGGCUA
rnacentral:rRNA from 1 species